UACGUAGGGGGCUAGCGUUGUCCGGAAUCAUUGGGCGUAAAGCGCGCGUAGGCGGCCCGGUAAGUCCGUUGUAAAAGUCAAAGGCUCAACCUUUGAAAGCCGAUGGAUACUGCCAGGCUAGAGUCCGGAAGAGGCGAGUGGAAUUCCUGGUGUAGCGGUGGAAUGCGCAGAUAUCAGGAGGAACACCGAUAGCGAAGGCAGCUCGCUGGGACGGUACUGACGCUGAGGCGCGAAAGCGUGGGGAGCGAACAGG
rnacentral:rRNA from 1 species